rnacentral:rRNA from 1 species
GAUGAACGCUGGCGGCGUGCCUAAUACAUGCAAGUCGAGCGAACGGACGAGAAGCUUGCUUCUCUGAUGUUAGCGGCGGGCGGGUGAGUAACACGUGGAUAACCUACCUAUAAGACUGGGAUAACUUCGGGAAACCGGAGCUAAUACCGGAUAAUAUUUUGAACCGCAUGGUUCAAAAGUGAAAGACGGUCUUGCUGGCACUUAUCGAUGGAUCCGCGCUGCAUUAGCUAGUUGGUAAGGUAACGGCUUACCAAGGCAACGAUGCGUAGCCGACCUGAGAGGGUGAUCGGCCACACUGGAACUGAGACACGGUCAAGACUCCUGCGGGAGGCAGCAGUAGGGAAUCUUCCGCAAUGGGCGAAAGCCUGACGGAGCAACGCCGCGUGAGUGAUGAAGGUCUUCGGAUCGUAAAACUCUGUUAUUAGGGAAGAACAUAUGUGUAAGUAAAUGUGCCCAUCUUGACGGUACCUAAUCAGAAAGCCACGGCUAACUACGUG